rnacentral:tRNA from 1 species
GGGGAUUUAGCUCAGGGGUAGAGCGCUUGCCUAGCAAGCGCAAGGCCCUGGGUUCGGUUCCCAGCUCCA